rnacentral:lncRNA from 1 species
UCAUAAUUAAAUAUUUUGGAUAGAUUUAAUUUUUGAAUGAAACACUUCCUUCUCGUUCAUUGCAUUAUCUGUUGCACUUCAAAUGCACAUAUUUAUGUUUAUCUGUUGUAGGGUUGCCAUACAACAAGUAUUAUUCGAAAUUGUAGGUAUUUUGGCUGUCAUUCCAGGAAAACUUUGUAUAGUUUUGAUAUACUUUAAGUAUUGAUUUUUGGAAAAUAUAAUAUUUUAGAGACAUGAUAACAAAUGUUAUCAUAGGUUUUUUAAGGCUGUUCUGGAAUGAUAUUUGUUAGGUUUUGUUUACUUCAAGGUCUGAUACAGAAACUGGAGUAAUCUUCAUUUAAUGAAUUAGAGUAUUUUAUUGUUUAUUCGUUUGCCACCCGGCUUUUGUUUUGGGUCCUUUAAAUUCGAGAUCAUUCAGUGCGCCGUUCUUUCUGUGACGAGAUCCUCUUGUAUAGUGAUCGGACGGCCGUAUAAGGGCCUGGAGCCCGGCAUGCCACGUGCUGCCGUGGCGUUCCAUAUUUUGGGUGCGUUCUGUCAGUCUGACUGGCAGAAACAUGCUAAGGGUGGGAGUGCUCCUUGGAGAUCCUCGGUCUGCAGUCUGCAGGUCUCCGGUGAGCUCGCUUACAUUUUUUUGUUUAGUCUAUCACAGUGUGUGAGGGCACUCGACUAAUGUGACCAAUUUAUUUGUUUCAUAGGAGUCGGGAAGAAGUAAAGAAUUAGAGAAUUGCAGAAGUAGAUAAUUAAACAAGAACCUUUACAAUUUCGAUGUGCAAGGAAACUUCUUUGGCUUACUGGCGCAAGGUGCCUUUGGACCUUGUUUUCGUAUGGAAGGGUCAGCCCUGUCCACGUGGCGAGGGGGCGUCAGCACCGGAGUCCGGGGAGCAGCCGGCUCAUCCCUGACAAGGUGUGUCUCCUGCCGUUUCCUGCCGGUAAUGCUGUGUAAUUCAGGUUUUAAUUUCUGUGUAAAGUAAUUUCUGAUUUCAUUUAUUUUGAGAAUUCUGGUGCAUAACUUUAGGUAAAUUCAUAUUUAGUUUUUGUAGAAUAAAUGGUUGUAAGAAACCUUUUCCUGGACCCUCUUAAAGCGGCCCAGCUUUACCACUGAGCGUAGUUCAUAUUUUCAUAUGGUGUCUAAUUUAGUAUUUCGGGAAACAUUAAAUGAAACCUUUCUGUAGGCAAGAGUUUAUUUAUAAUUAAUAAAGUUAUAAAAUGUGA